CCCCUAGAUGUUCUGGGCCGCACGCGCGCUACACUGAACAGUUCAACAAGUCUUAACCUUGGCCGAUAGGUCUGGGUAAUCUUUGAACGCUGUUCGUGAUUGGGAUAGACCUUUGCAAUUAUAGGUCUUCAACGAGGAAUUCCUAGUAAACGCAAGUCAUCAGCUUGCAUUGAUUACGUCCCUGCCCUUUGUACACACCGCCCGUCGCACCUACCGAUUGAAUGGUCCGGUGAAAUCUCGGGACGGCGGCUUGGUCGCUUGCGUCCGACUGCUGAAACUUGAUUAAACCAUAUCAUUUAGAGGAAGGUGAAGUCGUANCA
rnacentral:rRNA from 1 species